AGCAGCCGCGGUAAUUCCAGCUCCAAUAGCGUAUAUUAAAGUUGUUGUGGUUAAAAAGCUCGUAGUUGAACCUGGGCCCCGCGCCGGCCGGUCCGCCUCACCGCGUGCACUGGUCCGGCCGGGGCUUUCACUCUGGGGGUGCGCAUGCCCUUCGCUGGGCGUGUGAGGAACCAGGACUUUUACUUUGAAAAAAU
rnacentral:rRNA from 1 species